rnacentral:rRNA from 1 species
UACGGGGGGAGCAAGCGUUGUUCGGAUUUACUGGGCGUAAAGGGCUCGUAGGCGGCCAACUAAGUCGGACGUGAAAUCCCCAGGCUCAACCUGGGAACUGCGUCUGAUACUGGAUGGCUUGAAUCCGGGAGAGGGAUGCAGAAUUCCUGGUGUAGCGGUGAAAUGCGUAGAGAUCAGGAAGAACAUCGGUGGCGAAGGCGCUCUGCUGGACCAUAACUGACACUCAGGGGACGAAAAGCUAGGGG